rnacentral:rRNA from 1 species
AUUGAACGCUGGCGGCAUGCCUUACACAUGCAAGUCGAACGGCAGCACGGGAGCAAUCCUGGUGGCGAGUGGCGAACGGGUGAGUAAUAUAUCGGAACGUGCCCAGUCGUGGGGAUAACGUAGCGAAAGCUACGCUAAUACCGCAUACGAUCUAUGGAUGAAAGCGGGGGAUCGCAAGACCUCGCGCGAUUGGAGCGGCCGAUAUCAGAUUAGGUAGUUGGUGAGGUAAAGGCUCACCAAGCCGACGAUCUGUAGCUGGUCUGAGAGGACGACCAGCCACACUGGGACUGAGACACGGCCCAGACUCCUACGGGAGGCAGCAGUGGGGAAUUUUGGACAAUGGACGCAAGUCUGAUCCAGCCAUUCCGCGUGCAGGAUGAAGGCCCUCGGGUGUAAACUGCUUUGUACGGAACGAAAGGUUUCUAUUAAUACUAGGAGCUCAUGACGGUACCGUAAGAAU